rnacentral:rRNA from 1 species
GAUCCUGGCUCAGGACGAACGCUGGCGGCGCGCCUAACACAUGCAAGUCGAACGAGAGAGAGGGAGCUUGCUUCCUUGAUCGAGUGGCGAACGGGUGAGUAACGCGUGAGGAACCUGCCUCAAAGAGGGGGACAACAGUUGGAAACGACUGCUAAUACCGCAUAAGCCCACGGCUCGGCAUCGAGCAGAGGGAAAAGGAGCAAUCCGCUUUGAGAUGGCCUCGCGUCCGAUUAG